UCGAAUCCUCACAAGCAGUGCGACCCGUGAAUUUGUUUGACUCCUCGGGUGUGGCUUGAGGUGCAUGGCGCCUCGGUCCCCCCUAGUGUUGGAGGUGCCCUCCUCGUGCGGCCCCUCCUGGCCCAUUAACAAAACCCCGGCGCCGAAUGCGCCAAGGAAAUCGAGAUUGUCUAGCACGCCCCCGUCGGCUCGGAGACGAUGACUGUGUGGUGGCGUUGCGACACGUGUAUCCAAA
rnacentral:rRNA from 1 species